UGCGCAGGAAGACUGAGAUGAGGACCCUA
rnacentral:piRNA from 1 species